UGUUGCAGUUAAAAAGCUCGUAGUCGAACCUUGGGUCUGGCUGGUCGGUCCGCCUCACCGCGAGUACUGAUCCGGCUGGACCUUUCCUUCUGGGGAACCUCAUGGCCUUCACUGGCUGUGGGGGGAACCAGGACUUUUACUGUGAAAAAAUUAGAGUGUUCAAAGCAGGCCUUUGCUCGAAUACAUUAGCAUGGAAUAAUAGAAUAGGACGUGCGGUUCUAUUUUGUUGGUUUCUAGGACCGCCGUAAUGAUUAAUAGGGAUAGUCGGGGGCGUCAGUAUUCAGCUGUCAGAGGUGAAAUUCUUGGAUUUGCUGAAGACUAACUACUGCGAAAGCAUUCGCCAAGGAUGUUUUCAUUAAUCAGGGAACGAAAGUUAGGGGAUCGAAGACGAUCAGAUACCGUCGUAGUCUUAACCAUAAACUAUGCCGACUAGGGAUCGGACGGGAUUCUAUAAUGACCCGUUCGGCACCUUACGAGAAAUCAAAGUU
rnacentral:rRNA from 1 species